GGGCAAUGGGCGGGGCUAAAGGUUAAAAAAGGGAGCGGUUUCUUUAUUUAAAAUUUUUAAAAUUUAAAUUUUGUGUUGUAGGUUCUUUAAGCAUUGACGAGCUAAAGACCAUUUUAAAUUCUAAGCCUAGGGAAGCUUACAAUGGAACUAAUCAGAUGUUUUUAUGUCGGUUUGUUCCGAGACAGUGGAAGACUGGAGGUCAUGUGCUUGUGUCUAAUGUUUAGCAAAAUCUUAGUGAAACGAGGGCGAUAGGAAUGGGGGCUGGGGAAGACUUAGAUGGGAUAAAAAGAGGUGCGGCUGGAAGAACUAAAUCACUUUAAAACUUCUGAAAAUAAAUGUUGACCAUUGUAGUCAGAGGAGUAAAAUGUUCAGAGAAAUGGGGAUGAUUAAACAAGAACGGCAAGCCAGAUUGAGUCAGAAAAUUAUCUUCCUGCCAGAAAUUCUGUCUCCCACAACGGCAUCAGGGGGUGGUUACUUGCCCAGGGUGUAGUCAGUUUUUAAAAAGCUUAAGGGUUACCAACAUAUUCCUAAAUUUCCUGAAUUUGCUGUGAUUCCAGGAUUCAUUUAAACUCUUGAGACUGUUUUACUUUCGGCACGAAAUCAGCUCAUGGGCUUUAUAAAUGUAGAACCUACUGCAUUAUAGUUCUUCUUUUUGUUUAUUCUAAAACUGUUAGUAGCAGCCAGCGUAUUAUAUGAUUUGGAUUGGGCCAUGAACAACCGUAACGAGUGAUAAAGCACCCUUUCCUGUUCCAAUGCAAAGAACAACUAUGAAAAGAAAGUACUGGCAAAUUUAUCAUCUUGUAGUUAGUUCCUGGCCAAAGAAAAUGGAAAAAAAACAUCAGCCCGUCCCACAAAAACACAUAUAUUCAAGAAAGAUAAAUUACAUUGUGAUGAUUCAAUCAUAAAGCUACUCAAGGAUGUGCUCCACCAAAAUGAGGAUAUGAAGCCAAUAUAAAGGAAGGCAAUGAAUACAAGAGACAGGCAAAGGGAGUUCCCAGGACAUAAGCAAGGGACGUCCCAGGUAGCAAGUGUGCACCUGGUGUCCAGGGCCAUCUGUCCAGGGAGAAGUCAGCUGCCAUGUCAUGAAGACGCUCGAGUAGCCCUAUGAGAUUCCCAUGUGAACAGAAAUUGAGUCCUCCUGCCAACAAUCAGCCAUAAUUUGCAAGACACGUACAUGAGCUACCUUAGAAGAGAAUCCCUGGGCCCCAGAUAAGCCUUCAGGUGAAUGCAGCCCUGGAAGACAUCUUAACUGCAACCUCAUGAGAGACCCUGAGCCAGAACCAACCAGCUAAGGCACUGCCCGAUUCCUGACCUACACGCAUGGGGGUGUGAGAUAAUGUUUAUUGUGCUAAGCCACUAAGUUUUGCUAUAAUUUGUCAUGUAGAAAUAGAUAAUGAAUACAUGCUGGCAGGUAGGAAGGAAAUCAUCAGAGACAUGUUCAGGAAGAAUUAAUACUAGGAAAGAAAGUGUACCCCCACCCCCACCAAAAAACCAUGGAUAUGUUUUUUAUGCAUUUAAAAAUGCAUAUUAAAAUUAUAAUGAGAUUCUACUUUUCAUGAGAUCAGCUAAAAUUGAAAUCUGAUAGUACCAAGUGUCUCAUACACUGCUGUCAGAACAUAAAUUGGUACAAUCAGUUUUCAGAAAACAGUUUUACAUUACCUAGUAAAGGUGAAGUUACACAUACCACCAGAUAGAUUAUCAACAUCCUACCCUUAUAUGCACACACCAGAAAUAAGUGCACAUGUACAUCGAAAAAUAUGUACAUCAAUGUUCAUAGCAGUAUUACUCAUAAAAACCUGAAACCAGAAACAAGUAUCCCUCAACGGUAAGAAAAUUGUGGAAGAUUCAUUCACUAGCAUACUGUACGUUAAGUGAAAAUCAACAAAAUAUAGCUACAGGCAAUAAUGUGGAUGAGGCUUAAAAACAAUGUUGAGUGGAAAAGGUCCCACACAAAGGAAUAUAUAUAGUAUGAAUCUAUUUAUGUGAAGUUCAAAGGGAGGCAGAGUUAAGCUAUUUGUUUUAGGGAUGAUUACUUAGGAGGUAAAUACAUAAAGAAAAGUAAGAAAAGUGAAUACCAUAAAUGUCAGAAUAAUGGUUUCUUUAGGGAGGAUUAUAUACAGGUUGUGAUUGGAAAGGGGCUAUGGGUGGGGGCUUUCGGAGGUGUUUACAAUAUAUCAUUUCUUUUUUUUGUUGUUUCCUUUAAA
rnacentral:lncRNA from 1 species